AUUGAACGCUGGCGGCAGGCCUAACACAUGCAAGUCGAGCGAGCGGCGGACGGGGGAGUAAUGUUUGGGGAUCUGCUCGAUAGAGGGGGAUAACUACUGGAUACGGUAGCUAAUACCGCAUUCUAUCGGAUUUACGCUGGUGUGCUUAGCUAGUAGGUGGGGUAAUGGCUCACCUAGGCGACGCUCCCUAGCGGGCGUGCGAGGAUGACCAGCCACACUGGAACUGAGACACGGUCCAGACUCCUACGGGAGGCAGAAGUGGGGAAUAUUGCACAAUGGGCGAAAGCCUGAUGCAGCCAUGCCGCGUGUGUGAAGAAGGCCUUCGGGUUGUAAAGCACUUUCAGCGAGGAGGCGGUACUCGCAGAAGAAGCACCGGCUAACUCCGUGCCAGCAGCCGCGGUAAUUC
rnacentral:rRNA from 1 species